rnacentral:rRNA from 1 species
AUUGAACGCUGGCGGCAGGUUUAACACAUGCAAGUCGAGCGAGCGGCGGACGGGUGAGUAAUGUCUGGGCAACUGCCUGAUGGAGGGGGAUAACUACUGGAAACGGUAGCUAAUACCGCAUACCAUCAGAAGUGCCACGAUGGGAUUAGCUAGUAGGUGGGGUAAUGGCUCACCUAGGCGACGAUCCCUAGCUGGUCUGAGAGGAUGACCAGCCACACUGACGAUGAGACACGGUCCGUACUCCGACGGGAGGCAGCAGUUGAGAAUAGUGCACAAUGGGCGCAAGCCUGAGACAGCCAUGCCACGUGUGUGAAGAAGGCCGUCUAGUUGUAAAGCACUGUCAGCGAGGAGGCGUUACUCGCAGAAGAAGCACCGGGUAACUCCGUGCCAGCAGCCGCGGUAAUUC